rnacentral:rRNA from 1 species
GCAAGUCGAACGAAGUCUUCGGACUUAGUGGCGCACGGGUGCGUAACGCGUGGGAAUCUACCCUUAGGUGCGGAAUAACAGUUAGAAAUGACUGCUAAUACCGCAUAAUGACUCCGGUCCAAAGAUUUAUCGCCUAAGGAUGAGCCCGCGUAAGAUUAGCUAGUUGGUGAGGUAAAAGCUCACCAAGGCGACGAUCAGUAGCCGACCUGAGAGGGUGAUC